UACGGGGGGGGCAAGCGUUGUUCGGAAUUACUGGGCGUAAAGGGCUCGUAGGCGGCCAACUAAGUCAGACGUGAAAUCCCUCGGCUUAACCGGGGAACUGCGUCUGAUACUGGAUGGCUUGAGUGUGGGAGAGGGAUGCGGAAUUCCAGGUGUAGCGGUGAAAUGCGUAGAUAUCUGGAGGAACACCUGGCGAAGGCGGCAUCCUGGACCACGACUGACGCUGAGUGAGCGAAAGCCAGGGGAGCAAACGGG
rnacentral:rRNA from 1 species